AUGGCUUCUGGACCUUCUGGCUAAGAUCAAGUGUAGUAUCUUCUUAACAGUUUAAUAUAAUAACCCCUUAGUAGACUAUCAUAGGAUUUUUCACAGAAUCUACAUCAAGCUCACUACUUGCAGUUUGUAGAAUCUGUUAUAGUCUCCUUUUUUUAACAGAAAACUGU
ensembl:snRNA U2 U2 spliceosomal RNA